rnacentral:rRNA from 1 species
UGGGGAAUAUUGGACAAUGGGCGCAAGCCUGAUCCAGCAACGCCGCGUGGAGGAUGAAGGUCUUCGGAUUGUAAACUCCUGUUGCCCGGGACGAAAUGCUUCAACCUAAUACGUUGAAGUUUGACGGUACCGGGUGAGGAAGCCCCGGCUAACUCUGUGCCAGCAGCCGCGGUAAUACGAAGGGGGCAAGCGUUGUUCGGAAUGACUGGGCGUAAAGGGCGCGUAGGCGGCGCGUUGCGUCAGAUGUGAAAUCCCCGGGCUCAACCUGGGAAUGGCAUUUGAUACGGGCGUGCUGGAAUCCGUGAGAGGUUGGUGGAAUUCCCAGUGUAGAGGUGAAAUUCGUAGAUAUUGGGAAGAACACCAGUGGCGAAGGCGGCCAACUGGCACGGUAUUGACGCUGAGGCGCGAAAGCGUGGGGAGCAAA